AUUGAACGCUGGCGGAAUGCUUUACACAUGCAAGUCGAACGGCAGCACGGGGCAACCUGGUGGCGAGUGGCGAACGGGUGAGUAAUACAUCGGAACGUGCCCAAUCGUGGGGGAUAACGUAGCGAAAGUUACGCUAAUACCGCAUACGAUCUACGGAUGAAAGCGGGGGAUCGCAAGACCUCGCGCGAAUGGAGCGGCCGAUGUCAGAUUAGGUAGUUGGUGGGGUAAAGGCUCACCAAGCCGACGAUCUGUAGCUGGUCGGAGAGGACGACCAGCCACACUGGGAAGGGGACACGGCCCAGACUCCUACGGGAGGCAGCAGUGGGGAAUUUUGGACAAUGGGCGCAAGCCGGAUCCAGCCAUUCCGCGUGCAAGAUGAAGGCCUUCGGGUUGUAAACUGCUUUUGUACGGAACGAAACGGUUCUCUCUAAUACAGGGGGCUAAUGACGGUACCGUAAGAAUAAGCACCGGCUAACUACGUGCCAGCCGCCGCCGUAACAC
rnacentral:rRNA from 1 species